rnacentral:rRNA from 1 species
GCUUGUCUCAAAGAUUAAGCCAUGCAUGUCUAAGUAUAAGCACUUAUACCGUGAAACUGCGAAUGGCUCAUUAUAUCAGUCUUAAUUUAAAUGAUAGUCCCUACUACUUGGAUAACCGUAGUAAUUCUAGAGCUAAUACAUGCAUCAAACCCCGACUCACGAAGGGGUGUAUUUAUUAGAUGGAAACCAAUGCGGGGCAACCCGGAUUAUGGUGAUUCAUAAUAACUUUCAGAUCGAUCGCAAGAUCGAUGCAUCAUUCAAGUUUCUGCCCUAUCAGCUUUGGAUGGUAGGGUAUUGGCCUACCAUGGCUUUAACGGGUAACGGAGAAUUAGGGUUCGAUUCCGGAGAGGGAGCCUGAGAAACGGCUACCACAUCCAAGGAAGGCAGCAGG